rnacentral:rRNA from 1 species
CUUAGGCGUGUGACUGCGUACCUUUUGUAUAAUGGGUCAGCGACUUAUAUUCUGUAGCAAGGUUAACCGAAUAGGGGAGCCGAAGGGAAACCGAGUCUUAACUGGGCGUUAAGUUGCAGGGUAUAGACCCGAAACCCGGUGAUCUAGCCAUGGGCAGGUUGAAGGUUGGGUAACACUAACUGGAGGACCGAACCGACUAAUGUUGAAAAAUUAGCGGAUGACUUGUGGCUGGGGGUGAAAGGCCAAUCAAACCGGGAGAUAGCUGGUUCUCCCCGAAAGCUAUUUAGGUAGCGCCUCGUGAAUUCAUCUCCGGGGGUAGAGCACUGUUUCGGCAAGGGGGUCAUCCCGACUUACCAACCCGAUGCAAACUGCGAAUACCGGAGAAUGUUAUCACGGGAGACACACGGCGGGUGCUAACGUCCGUCGUGAAGAGGGAAACAACCCAGACCGCCAGCUAAGGUCCCAAAGUCAUGGUUAAGUGGGAAACGAUGUGGGAAGGCCCAGACAGCCAGGAUGUUGGCUUAGAAGCAGCCAUCAUUUAAAGAAAGCGUAAUAGCUCACUGGUCGAGUCGGCCUGCGCGGAAGAUGUAACGGGGCUAAACCAUGCACCGAAGCUGCGGCAGCGACGCUGAUGCGUUGUUGGGUAGGGGAGCGUUCUGUAAGCCUGCGAAGGUGUGCUGUGAGGCAUGCUGGAGGUAUCAGAAGU